rnacentral:rRNA from 1 species
AUUGAACGCUGGCGGCAGGCCUAACACAUGCAAGUCGAGCAGAUGAAGAGAGCUUGCUCUCUGAUUUAGCGGCGGACGGGUGAGUAAUGCCUAGGAAUCUGCCUGGUAGUGGGGGAUAACGUUCCGAAAGGAACGCUAAUACCGCAUACGUCCUACGGGAGAAAGCAGGGGACCUUCGGGCCUUGCGCUAUCAGAUGAGCCUAGGUCGGAUUAGCUAGUUGGUGAGGUAAUGGCUCACCAAGGCUACGAUCCGUAACUGGUCGGAGAGGAUGACCAGUCACACGGGAAAGGAGAAACGGUCCAGACUCCUACGGGAGGCAGCAGUGGGGAAUAUUGGACAAUGGGCGAAAGCCUGAUCCAGCCAUGCCGCGUGUGUGAAGAAGGUCUUCGGAUUGUAAAGCACUUUAAGUUGGGAGGAAGGGCAGUAAGUUAAUACCUUGCUGUUUUGACGUUACCGACAGAAUAAGCACCGGCUAACUUCGUGCCAGCCGCCGCAGUAAUAC